UACGGGGGGGGCAAGCGUUGUUCGGAAUUACUGGGCGUAAAGAGCGCGCAGGCGGUCGAUUAAGUCGAAUGUGAAAGCCCCCGGCUUAACUGGGGAGGGUCAUUCGAUACUGAUCGACUUGAAGGCAGGAGAGGGAAGCAGAAUUCCCGGUGUAGUGGUGAAAUGCGUAGAUAUCGGGAGGAAUACCAGUGGCGAAGGCGGCUUCCUGGCCUGUUCUUGACGCUGAGGCGCGAAAGCUGGGGGAGCAAACGGG
rnacentral:rRNA from 1 species